AUUGAACGCUGGCGGAAUGCUUUACACAUGCAAGUCGAACGGCAGCACGGACUUCGGUCUGGUGGCGAGUGGCGAACGGGUGAGUAAUGUAUCGGAACGUGCCCAGCCGUGGGGAUAACGUAGUGAAAAUUACGCUAAUACCGCAUACGAUCUAUGGAUGAAAGCGGGGGAUCGCAAGACCUCGCGCGAUUGGAGCGGCCGAUAUCAGAUUAGGUAGUUGGUGGGGUAAAGGCCCACCAAGCCAACGAUCUGUAGCUGGUCUGAGAGGACGACCAGCCACACUGGAACUGAGACACGGUCCAGACUCCUACGGGAGGCAGCAGUGGGGAAUUUUGGACAAUGGGCGAAAGCCUGAUCCAGCCAUUCCGCGUGCAGGAUGAAGGCCCUCGGGUUGUAAACUGCUUUUGUACAGAACGAAAAGGUUUCUACUAAUACUAGGAGCUCAUGACGGUACUGUAAGAAUAAGCACCGGCUAACUACGUGCCAGCCGCCGCAGUAA
rnacentral:rRNA from 1 species